GAGGGACCUGAAACCAGACACAAUUCUGCUAUCUCUGUGACCUAGACAUAGUUUUUUUUCUUUUCUUUUUUUUUAUUCAUAGCCUCUGACCUGAUUUAGCAGCUUCAUCCCCCUGUAUUAUACUAAACUUUCUACCCAACACUUACACCAUGUGUCCAGCGUAUGUAUUACAGCUCCUCACAAAAAAAAAAAAAUGAGUUCAAUGGACCCACUCACAUGAAAAUGGUGUUUUUGUAGCAUUUUUCUCAGGAUGGAGGACAAAUAUGAAAAAAAUUGGGAUUAAAACUUCAUUUCUGAGUAUUUUUUUUAUUCAAAUCGUUAUGAAUCAGAAACAGACCCAAAAAUGCAGUUUGAAAAAGCUUGUUGCUGAUCUGGCAUCUGGCUCAAAACUGAACGACUGGAUAGCUCCAAUAUUGUUAGCUAUUUUUGUUGCAUCUGUAACAUUAGGUUGGAGUUGUAAAUUGCUUUGAUUUGAUUUGAAAUUAUUUCAAGCAAUCAAAAUGAAAAAUGCACAAAUCAAUACAAUCAGCAGUUAUACAUUCAUACAAACUUAGAAUAAUUAGACAUUAAAUUAAAGAUUGCUUCAAAGGGAGUGGAAGGAAGCGAACUUAUAUAAUCCCACCCCUGUUCUACCAUACCAUUUUCAUUACAUGAUUUAUCAUGCAAGGGGCUGUAAGUUACCGGUAGAGCUUGUCAACAGAUGGAUGACAGGAAGUGAGGCAGGGAACUGACAGUCCCGCCCACAACUCAGAGGCAAAUUUCUAAUGAACAAAUUUUUUUUAUUUUGGCUAAAAAUGGCAUAAUCAUAAUAAAAAAAAAACACUGGGAAGGCUUUUACAAUAGAUCAAAAGAUGAUCGGAGUGAGACUUCUAAAAAAAAGCACAAUAAAAGGACAAACUCUUUAGAUUUUUUAUUAUAUCAAAAUACAAAAAUUUGAGAGGAAAUUUUCAUAUGGGACUAAGUUCUUGAAAUGAUAUGGUGACAUGAGUACAACACUGUUUUCAUGUUCCCACAGACGUGCCAGAGAUAAGAGCAUAGAUCAUGUGCUAGGCCCAUGUCUACGUCACGUGGGCCACCAGGAGAGAGCCUGUGCAUUUUCCCUACAAAGGCUUUUGUGAUGGCGACUGUUGCUGUACAUCCAGGCCGGCGUGGUAUCAGACCAGAGGGUCAAAGAAAAAAAGAGCGAUCCAUGGCAGUUGAGCAUGAGGAGUGUGUGUAAGACAUGAGUUCACUUGACAGCAGAGCGAACAAGAGAAAACGUAAUACAAAUAUUGUACAUAAGGCUUUGGUGCAGCACCAUACAGUGGUUAAUUGCUCACAAAACGUUAAGUGAAGCUUAAAUAACCUUAUGUAGUGACAGAAAAGAAUGACACUUCUAAAAAAGAAAAUAGAAGACAAAACCAUUGGGUGAUCAUUUAAAAAAAGUUUUUAAAAACAGGAAAAGAAAAUCUCCCAGGUAUUUACAUAUAAACAUUAUGGUAAGCUGAUAUAAAAAUCAUAUACAGUAUGUAAACAUGUGAUGUACAGCACAGACAUAAGUGAAUGGAAGUUAAAUGAAAUGUCAAUUUUCUUUCUUCAAGCACUACUUGGUUUGUUUGAGUAUGAGCAUUUUAGCUAAAACAGUCAACGAUGUAGCGCUUAUUGUAGCCUACAAUAACUAUACAUUCUAAUUUCUCAGUGCUGAUACACAUGGAAAAACAGAGAAUACAGAAAAUACUACAUACUUCUAGUUUCCGUCCAGCAACAACCAGCUUGGAUGUCCACGAUUGAUUGCUUAAUAGGCGUUUCUGUAUUGUCUCUACAUGCAAGUUUAAUACAAUAAGAAAUCAAAUCUAUCAGUAUCAUCCUAUCAGCAACUAGUGAUGCACUAAAGGCAAUAAGAAAACAAACAAACAGAAGAAAACAAUAAAAGAAGAAAACCAAUUGCUAACAGUACAUCCAAAGCAGCCCUCUUAAAUGCUGUACAUGUUUUUGUUGAGUGAGUGAGUGAGAAUACCAAACGCCCGGAAGACUACAUCUGUUUUUCAAAACAAUUAAAUAAAUUUAACAUGUGGGGAGGAUGCAUGAAGUUCCUAAAACCUUCCUGCCAGGAGUGUAAAGUCAAUUGUGGACAGCUCAUGGCUACACUGGACUUAUUAUUCCUGUUAGUGUGUGUCCCCCCCCCCCCCCCCCCCGGAUAUGAGUCGUGUGCUUGAAAAACAGAGAUGUUAACCAAAGACCUCGCAUGUACAAAAAAGAUCUCAGUUCCCCCUCCCACAUGUCAUGUGGUGAGCACUAAUCGAAGUCAGGCUAUGCUUCUCCUUUUAGGCUGGGUAAAUAAUCUCAUUAUUCUCACAAUUAUACUUUAGAGAGGGUACCUUGGAAGCACAGACAGACAUUGCAAACACACCAUAGAAAACAGGCCUUUGUGAGUUCAGUUGAAUGUCACAAGUCUAUUUGAGGUUAUACAUCUACUUUCCAGUAUUGUCUAUCACUUGUUGUCACACUGUUAUGAUAAAGACGAAUAGUGUCUACCCAAACUAGUUUACAGUAGCUGCUCAGACCCACAGGGCUGAGAAAAGUCGCUUGUGGAAACAGAAAGGAAAAUCUUUAGACUUCUAUUCUACAGCACCACAAAGUUAAACAUAGCACCAAGUUGUAAUGGUCAAAGCAACUAUGCCCUAACACACUUGUCUUCAUCAAACUAAUGUAAACACGACUUCCUCCACUGCACGUUCUGUACAUGACUACAGCAUGUCCGUUUUUCAAACUGAAAAGUAAAAAAAAAUUAUAAAAACUUUAGUUUUAUUUGCUUUGGACACGUGAAGAUGAA
rnacentral:lncRNA from 1 species